rnacentral:rRNA from 1 species
UACAGAGGGUGCGAGCGUUAAUCGGAAUUACUGGGCGUAAAGCGUGCGUAGGCGGCUAUGUAAGACAGAUGUGAAAUCCCUGGGCUUAACCUAGGAACUGCAUUUGUGACUGCAUUGCUAGAGUGUGGUAGAGGGAGAUGGAAUUCCGCGUGUAGCAGUGAAAUGCGUAGAUAUGCGGAGGAACACCAAUGGCGAAGGCAAUCUCCUGGACCUGCACUGACGCUCAUGCACGAAAGCGUGGGGAGCAAACAGG